UGGUAAAUUCUCUCUUUAUUUCAUAAAUGAUGUAAACAUGGAUCAGACUUUCAUUGUCCUCCUUUUUCCACCCCAGAUACUGCCUAUCAAUCAAGACUCUUAUUCCCAAGGAGUUCUGAUAUGACCUCAGAAUCUUUUUCAAGCCAGCAUUCCAGGGGUUAUGACUCAUUCAUUGGGACUGGAUGGUAGGAUAAAAAAAUUAUCCACCAAACUUAGAGUAGAUUAUUGACUUUAAUUAUUCAUGCCUCUUGAGUAAUUUUCUCAGUAGUGGCUUCACAUGAGGGUCACUGUGUGAUCUUUUGAAUGUCAGAAGGCACAACUUUUGAGAAGCAGCUUGAGUUGAUAGACGCCUGGGUGGGAGUCGGGCAUCGACUCCUAAUUUGGCCAUUCCACUAUGUGUUCUUAACAGAACAGCUCCAUGUUCUGCAUUUUCCACAUCAAAAUAGUUUUAAAUAGUAGGUCUCAGGUCAGUGAAUACUUUUUACUUAGAAAAUAGGGUGAAUGUUAAGGCGAGUGUAUUCCCUAUAAAAGCCUCAGUCUCCUUAUGUGAAAGAUGGAAAAUCUGAUUUCUUUGAAGAUGCCUCUAAAACAAGAGCCUAUGGGAUCUAGAAACGCCCUUGAUAUCUGUCACCAGAAAAGAAAACAUCUGAUGUUGCCAUCGUAAGAGAAAAGAACAACUCCUCCUGAAACCUACAUUUCCGCAUAACCAUGACAACGGCAUGAAACAUGUAGGGAAGAGGGGCGUGGGAGGGCAGCGAAGGCUACUGUUUGUUCAGUGCCCUCUGGUAGCAGACACAGCCCUGGUACUCACUGCCUCUCUGAAUUUUCUGAAGGACCCUGUGAAGUAUGUAUUAUUAUCCUCAUUUCUCAGAUGAAGAAACUGAGGCUCCAAAGACUGAUGGGGGCAGUUCAAGAUCACAGGGCUGGUAAAGGAUGGACUGUCCUGCCAGAUGCCUAUGGCCAGGGUCCUUUCACUGCUGCCCACUGGCAAUGCUUGAGUGUGAAAGCUUAAGGGCACGACAUUUUGUCUUGGAAUGUAUACUUGAAUGUUGUGUUCCACUGUGGCCCUAAAGUUCUUGGACAAAGAUGUAAAUCUCUGAGUUCUUUUAAAGCCGCGUGAGUGUACUAGACAGUGUGAUGAGCAAGCUGGAAGUGUACGCCAAUCACAUGGAGGAGGUGGUGGAAGAGAGGACCAACCAACUGAUGGCCGAGAAGAGGAAAGUGGAUCAGCUUUUAUCCACAAUGCUGCCCAGCUUCACUGGAGAACAACUUGUAGCAGGAAUGUCCGUGGAACCAGAGCAUUUUGAGUCGGUGACAAUCUUUCUCUCUGACAUUGUUGGAUUCACAAAACUCUGCUCUCUCGGCUCCCCCCUGUGAAGCUCCUUACUGACCGGUACAGUGUAUUUGCUCACAUCAUUAAAACUCAUGACGUGUAUAAGGUGAGACACCUGGUUCCCGGGUCGUGGGGGUGCACAUGAUCCUUGUAGCUGUCCCCCCCUGGGCGUGAAUGGAGAUGAAUCCAGCCCAAGACAUCAGUCAGGAGGAAGGCUCUAUUUUAGGCUGGCAGUCUAUCUCAAUUCAUGGCAGAAACUCAAUAUUUGAUUCCUGUUUGUUUUCUUGGAGAAGGGCUUGAUUCAUCACAGGUGUAGGUGCUUGUCAAGAAUCAUCAGCUGUUCCCUCUGUUCCUUUCCAUUAUUUUAUCUCACAGUAAACACAUUUCUAAAACAGGCAUUGACCUUCUACUGGCUAAUUCCUCCAGUUCCCUCCUGAAUAUAUAUUUUUUUCAUAUUCAGAGAGGCUCGCAUUUAGUUUCCUUUAAAGAUUGUCUUUGAAUCCGUUGUGUCUCACUUCUUUUACUGUGAUCUUUAGCAAUUCAAGCUUAGAUUAUCAGACUCGUGCCUAAAGAUCAGAUAGUAACUACCUGACUAGUACUACUACUCUGGAGAUGUAUGAACAAGGUCACCUAGAAUGAAAGAGGAGUUUUGUAGGGGAAGAGAACAAAAACUGACAAUUUGGCCUCAUUCAUAAUGACAAGGCCACCUUAUAUGUUUUCUGGUGGGGCCAGGUGAUGACUCCAGGACGCCCAUGUUCACACACACCAGGUGGGCAGCCACAAGCUCAUCAGCUCUGACCUCUGAUUGCAGGGCUCUCUGCCUGUGGUCCUGGAUCAGGAAGACUUGGGGCAAUGUAAUCAUGUCCUCUGGCAACACAUCCUCAGUGGUGUUCCCCCAAAGUUCCCCAAGGAUGUAGCCCCAACUCAAGAGUGGAUGGAAGGAUAGUAUGGAGAAUCACAAAGAGCAGAUCACAUUCACCCAACAAAAACAGAAGCUGCUCUGCUUCGAAGAUCCUCCUCUGGGAUCGUCUCUUUGUGUUUUCUUCUCAGCUAUGUUUUGCCUGAACUAAUGUUCGAAUCAGUUUGUGUUUCUAAAGGAUAUGCCCACGGUGGGGUGAGGUAGCCUAGAAGCAGUUCGACUUGUGUGCUUGUUGAUUUGGGUAAUUUCAGUGUCACCAGGAGGCAGACGUGUUCUUACUGCCUGGCUAAGGCCUGAAAGUUCACCUUUACCAUCAUCGUUGGAAUCUGCUGGAAUGCAGAUGGAUCUGAAAGGAGCUGUAACUUUAUUCUUACACUUGUCAUUUAUUCUCUCUUGUGAAUGAAGGAUCUGAAAGAUGAUUUUAUUAGGAGGAUUAGGGGAAAAGAAGGUGGAUGCCUACAUUUAUAUAUUUUGUGUAGUAUAAACGGAUGCAUAGUGGUACCUAAGAGCCUUUACGUGGAGUGAAGAUUUUCCAGGUUGGAUAAGAUGAAUGGCCCUUGAUGGCUCCUGGUGAUCUUUCAAGUCUCAAGUCUGAUGAGGUGAUCUGUGCCUCAUCAAUGUAUUGCUGUCUGCCUAACUAGUUUUGAACCUGGGUUGGGGGAAUACGGUCACCGGCAGUGUCAGAUUUCAGAAGGGAAAGCCGUGACUGUGGGGAAGAGGGCCAGGGGAGGAAGGUUUCCUGGAGGAGACAGGACAAGGGCAGGACCUUGAGGAAAUGCGAGGGCUUGGAUGGGGUGGAGGUCACGGAGUGCGACCCCUCCAAGGAUGGGGCCCAAAGCAGGAUCAGGAACGAGGGGCCUUACCUCACACUCAUCCCCUCACUCCCAGCCUCCCUUGGGAAGAAAACAAAGCCGCUUUCUUCCUUUGUUUUCAGGCUGAAACCAUUGGAGAUGCAUACAUGGUGGCUAGCGGACUUCCCAUCCGCAAUGGAAUCCGACAUGUGGAUGACAUUGCCAUGAUGUCCUUGCACUUCCUUGGUGCCACCAUCCACUUUCAGAUGGGCCACAUGCCCGAGGAGAAGCUGAAGCUCUGAAUGGCCUCCACACAGCUCUCCAGAUCCAGGUCUCUCAGAGCACUGCAGUCAUCCUGCUGGCGUUGGGAGGGUACGCUUUGCAAAAGAGAGGCACCAUUCCAGUCAAGGGCAAAGGAGAACAAACCAAGUUCUGGCUGAAGGGCAAAGAAGACUUCACUAUUCCACUCCCCGAAUUUGCUGAGGAAGAAGCUGAAGUCCCAGAGAUCUUCUGAGAGUCCUGUGGCCUGGUGCAAACCUGGAGUUUGAUGAACUGGAUACAGUGAACUCAUUUCCUGGGGGACCAGGGCUGCUGCUCCCAGACCUGCCACGCAAUAAAUGUGGGUUUGUCAUUGACAGAGGAGAUGGUCUUCGUGGCGGAGCUGCAGCUGCCUGCCCAGCUCUCCCUUAUAACACAGCGCAAACCCCCAGCAUCACGAUGAGGUGAUAGAGCACAUCUGUGGACCAGACAGGAGAGGAGACAGAAACAGUUCCGCAAGGAGCAAGGAGAACUCAGCAAAAGCGUCAACAUCAAAGAGUCCACUCAAGGGUGUUGAGUGGGUUUUCACAAAGCUCUGCAUGUUUUGUUCGUAGUCAGAUUGUUUCAUCCUCCUGGCUUUCCAUAGCUCACCUUCAUCAGUGCAAGAACCCAACAGAGGAAGCUCAGGACAUGGAACUCUGACAAAUGGGAACCUGAACUUAAAUAAUAUAGUGAUGCUGCUUUUCACUGUAUGAUGUUAGCUGUAGAACUUCCUUUAAGAAUGAGAAUCUGAGUAUCAUAAGGAAUUGGUUUGCAUGAUUUCCUGUAAUUGUGAGAGCAAAGCCUACAUCUGUGAGUUUACGAAUAAAUAGAACUGUCCUGCCCAUCUUCUCGCAUAGCUACCUCCUCCUCCUCAUUUGAUGAGAUCUUCUCCCAAGAGGUUUCUUGGGCUGCUGUCUAAAUCACUAUUCAGCUCCCACCCACCCCACUUCACACAUAUCAGGAAGGGCAGGAGCCCUGUUUGCUUUGUUCACUGUGAUAGUCACACCACCUAGAAGAGUGCCUGGCACAGAGUCAGUAAUUAUGGUUGAUAUUUACUGGAUGUUUGCUGCAUGCUGAGCAUUGGUUAGGGCUCUUAGCUGUAAUAGUUAAUCCACACAACAACUUCUGUGUAUGAGAUGGGCAAUAAUUAACCCAGCUUCAGAGAGGAAACUGGGGGAUGCACGGGUGAGGUAAUGGCUCAAGGUCACUCAGUUCAUGACAGCAGGGACAGAAGGGACUAGAAAUAUUUGUUGAAUGAACAGAUCAUUGAAAACUCAAGCUCUCCAAAUGCAGAAACCCCAAAGAAACCACCUGGUGAUAUCUUUGCUCAGGCUUGGUGGGGCUGGGGGUAGGGAUCCCAUUCUGCUUCAUCCAACUUGCCCCCAGCUCCUCCCUCCCUUCCAAGCUCAGGGGCUGGUUGGAGAGAGACCUCUACCUCCAGUCCCCCUCCACCUCAUUCAGAUGUGCUUUAAAGUAUACCUUUUAAUUCUUAAGGGACCAAAGGUAAGCUUCUUUUAAAACACACAGGAAUUUGCUGUAUGGCUCAGGAAAUUCAAACAGG